rnacentral:rRNA from 1 species
AGAGUUUGAUCCUGGCUCAGAACGAGCGUUGGCGGCGGGGUUUAGACAUGCAAGUCGAGCGGAAAGGUCCCUUCGGGGAUACUCGAGCGGCGAACGGGAGAGUAAUACUUGGACAACCUACCUCGGAGUCGGGAAUAGCCACUGGAAACGGUGGGUAAUGCCCGAUAGUCCGUGUUGGCCGAUGGCCGAUCCGGUAAAGGUGAUUCCGCUUCGGGACGGGUCCAAGGCCCAUUAGCUUGUUGGUGAGGUAACGGCUCACCAAGGCGACGAUGGGUAGCGGGCCUGAGAGGGUGAUCCGCCUCACUGGGACUGAGACACUGCCCAGACUCCUACGGGAGGCUGCAGUCACGAAUCAUUGGCAAUGCACGCAAGUGUGACCAUGCCACGCCGCGUGGACGAUGAAGGCCUUCGGGUUGUAAAGUCCUGUCAGGGGUGAGGAAACGUACCGGUUUACCGGUGCCUGACGUUAGCCCCAGAGGAAGUCACGGCUAACUCCGUGCCAGCAGCCGCGGUAAGACGGAGGUGGCAAACGCUGUUCGGAAUCACUGGGCUUAAAGGGCGUGUAGGCGGCCGAUCAAGUCGGGUGUGAAAUCCCUCGGCUCAACCGAGGAACUGCAUUCGAUACUGGUCAGCUAGAGUGCGAGAGGGGUGAGUGGAACUCCAGGUGUAGCGGUGAAAUGCGUAGAUAUCUGGAGGAACGCCGGUGGCGAAAGCGACUCACUGGCUCGCAACUGACGCUGAGGCGCGAAAGCUAGGGGAGCGAACGGGAUUAGAUACCCCGGUAGUCCUAGCCCU